GAUGAGAACGCAGCGAAAUGCGAUAAGUAAUGUGAAUUGCAGAAUCCAGUGAAUCAUCGAAUCUUUGAACGCACAUUGCGCCCGCCAGCAUUCUGGCGGGCAUGCCUGUUCGAGCGUCAUUUCAACCCUCGACCUCCCUUUGGGGAAGUCGGCGUUGGGGACCGGCAGCACACCGCCGGCCCUGAAAUGGAGUGGCGGCCCGUCCGCGGCGACCUCUGCGUAGUAAACCAACUCGCACCGGAACCCCGACGUGGCCACGCCGUAAAACACCCAACUUCUGAACGUUGACCUCGAAUCAGGUAGGACUACCCGCUGAACUUAAGCAUAUCAAUAAGCGGAGGA
rnacentral:misc_RNA from 1 species